rnacentral:lncRNA from 1 species
CUUCGCCUGCAAAUUUAGAUUAUUUUAUUAAUUUUUCCCCACAAAUUCUGCUUAGCUUUCUUGUACUGUUAAGUUCUUGAACAAAAAUGAGAUGUACAAUUGUCUUCAAUCGGCUAAACAAAAAAUGAAGUACGCUUUUAACAUGUUUACUACUCUUGAAACAGAAUCUAGCAUUUGUUUUGGUUGUCUUCAUUUUUUCAUGUAUUGGUAAAU